rnacentral:tRNA from 1 species
AGUCUUAUAUUCAAAAAUGAUAUAAAAUUGCAAAUUUUAAGGAAUAUUCUUUAAUAUUAAGGCUU